AGAGUUUGAUCCUGGCUCAGGAUGAACGCUAGCUACAGGCUUAACACAUGCAAGUCGAGGGGCAGCAUGAACUUAGCUUGCUAAGUUUGAUGGCGACCGGCGCACGGGUGAGUAACACGUAUCCAACCUUCCGUUUACUCAGGGAUAGCCUUUCGAAAGAAAGAUUAAUACCUGAUAGUAUGGUGAGAUUGCAUGAUAGCACCAUUAAAGAUUUAUUGGUAAACGAUGGGGAUGCGUUCCAUUAGGUAGUAGGCGGGGUAACGGCCCACCUAGCCGACGAUGGAUAGGGGUUCUGAGAGGAAGGUCCCCCACAUUGGAACUGAGACACGGUCCAAACUCCUACGGGAGGCAGCAGUGAGGAAUAUUGGUCAAUGGGCGAGAGCCUGAACCAGCCAAGUAGCGUGAAGGAUGAAGGUCCUACGGAUUGUAAACUUCUUUUAUACGGGAAUAAAGUAUCCUACGUGUAGGAUUUUGUAUGUACCGUAUGAAUAAGCAUCGGCUAACUCCGUGCCAGCAGCCGCGGUAAUACGGAGGAUGCGAGCGUUAUCCGGAUUUAUUGGGUUUAAAGGGAGCGCAGACGGGAGAUUAAGUCAGUUGUGAAAGUUUGCGGCUCAACCGUAAAAUUGCAGUUGAUACUGGAUAUCUUGAGUGCAGUUGAGGCAGGCGGAAUUCGUGGUGUAGCGGUGAAAUGCUUAGAUAUCACGAAGAACUCCGAUUGCGAAGGCAGCCUGCUAAGCUGCAACUGACAUUGAGGCUCGAAAGUGUGGGUAUCAAACAGGAUUAGAUACCCUGGUAGUCCACACGGUAAACGAUGAAUACUCGCUGUUGGCGAUACACAGUCAGCGGCCAAGCGAAAGCAUUAAGUAUUCCACCUGGGGAGUACGCCGGCAACGGUGAAACUCAAAGGAAUUGACGGGGGCCCGCACAAGCGGAGGAACAUGUGGUUUAA
rnacentral:rRNA from 1 species